GGGGGUGUAGCUCAGUGGCAGAGCACUUGCCUAGCAUACAAAAGGCCCUGGUUAUCCUUAGCACCACCA
rnacentral:tRNA from 1 species